AUUGAGCGCUGGCGGCAUGCCUUACACAUGCAAGUCGAACGGCAGCACGGGUGCUUGCACCUGGUGGCGAGUGGCGAACGGGUGAGUAAUACAUCGGAACGUACCUUAUCGUGGGGGAUAACGCAGCGAAAGUUGCGCUAAUACCGCAUACGCCCUGAGGGGGAAAGCGGGGGACCGUAAGGCCUCGCGCGAUUAGAGCGGCCGAUGUCUGAUUAGCUUGUUGGUGAGGUAAAAGCUCACCAAGGCGAUGACCAGUAGCUGGUCUGAGAGGACGAUCAGCCACACUGUGACUGAGACACGGCCCAGACUCCUACGGGAGGCAGCAGUGGGGAAUUUUGGACAAUGGGGGCAACCCUGAUCCAGCAAUGCCGCGUGAGUGAAGAAGGCCUUCGGGUUGUAAAGCUCUUUUGUCAGGGAAGAAACAGCAGCUCUAACACAGUCUGCGAAUGACGGUACCUGAAGAAUAAGCACCGGCUAACUACGUGCCAGCCGCCGCGGUAA
rnacentral:rRNA from 1 species